AGAUGGAGAAAUGUGAACUACAUAAUAAUAGAACGGACCUGCCUCUGCAAAGAUUUAUGAGAGAUGCAUCGCUCAUCCCUUCUUCAGGUCCAGAUUUAGAGAUAAGGACUCGCGCUGGGAUUUUGUUUGGCACCUUUCCAGCAUGUUAUGGACCAACUUAGUUCCCUAAAGCACAGCGUUAAGUAGUUUACCCAGUUACCUAUCCAGGAUAUGCUAAGGCCUGGACCUUUUUCCUGGAGUCUUCAAUAUCAGGGAUCUUCCAUGUUCCCAAUUGAACAUGUCUGGAUGAGACAGACCCUGCCUUUCCUUCUACAACCCCUAGAAUAUGAAAAAUUCUGAAAAAUAAAAAGACUUAAAAAGGGCUGAUUCACUGAAGUGAGCAGAACAAUGGUACCCAAUCAGGAAG
rnacentral:lncRNA from 1 species